GCCUGCUCUCCUGACAUGUUGAGAUCCUGAAGCGAGUGCUCAGAGCAGCCAGACGUGCGCCCUGGUGGCUUGGCAAUGUCUGCUGUGGGUGUGGGUGGGGAGGCAGUGGCCUGCACCCUCCAGACACCACCUGAAGGCGGAGUCCUGGGGGCAAGGCUGGGAGUGGUUCUCAUGUCUGUAAGUCUGGCAUGGGGCCUGCAGCCAGGAGCUCGCCUAGUGGCUGAUGGAGGCUGGAGGGGCGGGCUGGGCAGGGCAGAGGGAGGAGGGAGCAGACCAAGGAGGGCCGCAGGGACCGGCCCCAAGGGUGAGAGGGCGGGCAGCCGGCCCCACUCCUGGCUGGGCUGGUUUCGCCUGGCUCUCUGCUCCUCCGCCAACUGGCUUGCUAUGACGUGGGCAUCCCCGAGCGGGCCCUGCAACGCUCGGCUCUCCUGGCAAUGGUGCCCCGGCCCCAGGCAUUCUGGAGCCAGAGAACCAGCAGGAGGCUUGCGGUUGGACGGGGAGCUCAGAGAGGACCACCCGAACUGCUGUCCUUCCCCAGAAACCACUGCCCCCACCGGGAGAGAUGGGCCGUCCCCAUCUGUGGGUGGCAGCUCAGGCCUGGACCCGGAGACCCGUCUGCUGGAGGCGGGGAGGCUGGGGUGCCGACCCCCGAAGGAGCCAGCCCCACGCAGGAUGCUUCUCAGGCUUUGAUCAGCCAACUCCAUGCUGGCUGGGGAACUGA
rnacentral:lncRNA from 1 species